rnacentral:lncRNA from 1 species
UCGACCCCUAACCUGGGAACCUCCAUAUGCCGCGGGAGUGGCCCAAGAAAUAGCAAAAAGACAAAAAAAAAAACAAACAAACAAACAAACAAACAAAAAAACUAUACUUAAAUGAUGAGAUAUUUCUAGACAUAUCAGAUUUUUAGGGAGAGAGAGGCAUGAGAGAACAUGUGUAUGUUGUGUGACAACCAAUAUCUGUACACUAAAUUGACCUUUAAAGUUUAUGUUAAAAGUUCAUUUAGAGAGUUCCCUUGUGGCUCAGCAGGUUAAGGAUCCGAUAUUGCCACUGCAGUGGCUCUUAUCAUUCUGUUGGCAUGGGUUCAUUUCCUAGCCCAGGGAAUUUCCACAUGUCUCAGACAUGGCAAAAAAAAAAAAAAAAAAAAAAAAACCCCCCAUUAAUGAAGGCUAAGGCACUAGAGCAUUAUUAAUGGUUCGGAUGAUCACAGGAAAUGCUUCUUUAAUGCUGUGCUUCCACAGGGAAACAGCGUAUUUUGACAGCCUUAUUAAGAUAUAAUUCACAAGCUAUAAAGUUCACCCACUUAAAGUAUAUAUAUCACUGUUUUUUUAGCGUAUUCUCAGAGUUUUAAAUUAUCACUAUGGGUGUUCCCAUCUAUUGAUUAUUAUUAUAUACUAUUACACCUUUGCAAACAUUUGGUACAGAAUUCCUUAGAGCAAGUUGAUUUGUCUGAGAACUGCCAUGUUUCAUGAUUUUAGAGUCCUUAGAAAAUGUGUAUUUUCUAUACCUUGUCAGUUGUCUCAGUUUAAUCAAGUGUUAUAUAAGGUAAAAAUACUGGAGCUCUAAGCAGAAAUAAUAUUUUAUUUCUGUAUAAAAUAACAUGUUUUAAUAUAAAAGAAUUAUUAUCCACCAGUGAACCAAAUGCUUGGUAUUCUUUGGAGAAAUGCUCAAAAUGCUCAUAUUUUAAUGAAUGACUUAUUUGAACUUUUCAUUUAUCUCAGGAAAGUUAGUUUUAGACUAAUUCACCUGAUAUUUACAUCAGGAUAAUUAGUUUUAGACUAAAGCCUGUAGGGUUACUUUUUUUGUCCUGUUGCCUACAAAAUUAUUAACAUUUGAUGAAAUGAAUAGAUACCAAGAAAGAUGAGAGGUUAGAGGAUGGAGACAGAAGAGAGGAAAGAAACAGGAAGAAUUACCUGGAAUUAACACCACUUUUAUUUCUUGUAUAUAAAACGACCUAAAUAACUUCCUAUCUUGCAUUUUAAGCUUUUAUUUAGUUCUUCACUUUACAUUUAGAGAAAAGAGGGUAAAAUUGCUCUUUUUUCCCUAUGUAUCCUUUCAAGAACAUUCUGGAGUUCCCAUCGUCGCUCAGCAGAAACAAAUCUGACUAGCAUCCAUGAGGAUGCAGGUUCGAUCCCUGGCCUUGCUUAGUGGGUUAAGGAUCUGGCGUUGCCAUGAGCUGUGGUGUAGGUCACAGACGUGGCUCUGACCCCACGUUGCUGUGGGUGUGGUGUAGGCCAGUGGCUACAGCUCUGAUUCGACCCCUAGCCUGGGAACCUCCAUAUGCCACGGGUGCAGCCCUAAAAAGAAAAAAGACAAAAAUAAAUAAAUAAAAACAUUCUGAAUGACCUAUCCCAAGAGAAAGGUCCGUCCCUUUGCAAACCUGGAUGGAAUGUACUUGACCACACACAAAACCAAAAACACUUAUUACAUCUCAGCUUCCCUCAGUGGUGGGACACAGAGAAGAAUCUCUCUUUGCCUGUAGAGGAAACUUAGAGAGGUUUUUAUUACUGGCAUUUUUAUUUUAUUUUUUAUUUUUAUUAUUAUUAUUAUUUUUUUUUUGGCUGCACCCACAGCAUUUGGAAGUACCCAGGCCGGGGAUCAGAUCCAAGCCACAGCUGCAGCAACGCUGGAUCCUUUAACCCAUUGAGCCAGGCUGGGGAUUGAACCCAAGCUGCCGCAGAGACAACACCAGAUCCUUAAUCCACUGUGCCACAGCAGAAACUCCUUAUUGACCUUUUUCAUGGUACUUGGAUAUUUGCACGUAAAUUCAAUAAAGAAAAUUUGGAGUUCCCGUUAUGGCGCAGUGGAAACAAAUCCAACUAUGAACCAUGGGGUUGCAGGUUCAAUCCCUGGCCUUGCUCGGUGGGUUAAGGAUCUGGCAUUGCCUUGAGCUGUGGUGUAGGUCGCAGACACCGCUCAGGUCUGGCUGUAAGCCGGCAGCAACAGUUCUGAUUGGACCCCUAGCCUGGGAACCUCCAUAUGCCGUGGGUGUGGCCCUGGGGGAAAAUUAAAAAAAAGAGUUGAAAAGAUCUAAGUGUAGCUCCUUGGGGACCUAGACUCAGAAGUGAAAACUAGCAGGGCCCUGUGGGCUCCUUGGCACAAACCUUUCUCUCCCAUUU